rnacentral:rRNA from 1 species
UACGAAGGGUGCAAGCGUUGUUCGGAUUUAUUGGGCGUAAAGCGCGCGCAGGCUGAUCAGCAAGUCAGGUGUGAAAUCUCGGGGCUCAACCCCGAAAGUGCGCCUGAAACUACUGGUCUAGAAUACUGGAGAGGGAAGGGGAAUUUCUCAUGUAGGGGUAAAAUCCGUAGAUAUGAGAAGGAACACCGGAGGCGAAGGCGCCUUCCUGGACAGUGAUUGACGCUGAGGCGCGAAAGCGUGGGGAGCAAACAGG